CAGGCGUCGAGCGGCGGACGGGUGAGUAACGCGUAGGAAUCUACCCAGUAGUGGGGGAUAGCCCGGGGAAACUCGGAUUAAUACCGCAUACGCCCUACGGGGGAAAGCAGGGGAUCUUCGGACCUUGCACUAUUGGAUGAGCCUAUGUCUGAUUAGCUUGUUGGUGGGGUAAAAGCCUACCAAGGCAACGAUCAGUAGCUGGUCUGAGAGGACGAUCAGCCACACUGGGACUGAGACACGGCCCAGACUCC
rnacentral:rRNA from 1 species